UAAGAAGGGGGCUAGCGUUGUUCGGAAUUACUGGGCGUAAAGCGCAUGUAGGCGGAUCUAUAAGUCAGAGGUGAAAUCCCCGGGCUCAACCCUGGAAUUGCCUUUGAUACUGUAGAUCUGGAGUCUGGGAGAGGUGGGUGGAAUUCCGAGUGUAGAGGUGAAAUUCGUAGAUAUUCGGAGGAACACCAGUGGCGAAGGCGGCUCACUGGCCCGAGACUGACGCUGAGAUGCGAAAGCGUGGGGAGCAAACAGG
rnacentral:rRNA from 1 species